CUGGGGGUAAAUAUUGCUAAAGAGGUGGAGCUGCCUUUCCACACCCUUGAAGAACAAGUGUGCAGCACUGGUCAAAAUAGGGUUGUUAAAUCAUCUACUCCUCAGAGAAGAUUUUGCUUUAGUAUUACUAAAAGCAAUUUAAUGAGCAGCUGAUUGAACCAUAUAUUUUGUGAAACUGUAACUGCAGUGCUGAUUUCUGUUGGGAACAAAGGCUUGGACAUGUGAGUGACAGCUCCUCCUCCCACAUGGUCGCCCAUGUGAGGAGAAUCUCUGUGAUAACUGGGGCUUCCUUCUCCAGGGCCUCUUCAAUGAAAUAGAAGACAAAAAAAUAAAGCAAGGAAAUACCCGAGCAUCCUUCCUGAAGGAUAUGGCAACAAAAAAAUGAAAGUUCAGCACGUGCUCCUCCUUGGAAAAAAUGAUGGCCUAACAGGGUAACGCUGAGAACUGAAAAUUUGGGAUUUAUCAGUGACAUUAAAUCUUUACUGAAUUACCAGUGACGUUAAAUCUAUGCUGGAGUACUUAAUGUCACACCUUGUUACUAUACAGAAGGGAAUGCAUCUAAUAAGGACAUCUGGAAAGUUUUUCAGUCUCUUCAAACUCCAAACCAAUCUUGAAAUGAAAGCAAAAAAUACCAACUCUCCCUCAACUCAAAUAUUGACAGAUAUGGGAGAGCCACAAGACUCAAAAUGA
rnacentral:lncRNA from 1 species